ACGAAGCCCAACCUUCAGGGCAAGGCCAAUUGUUCCACCAUCUUAAUGCUCCCACUCAGGUUACAGGCUCACGCUACCAAGCCCAGCAGGCAAUUCUUUUAGCUAGGGACUUAUUAAGUGAACAUAUUCUUCAUCUGGUUUCGAUGUGGGAUAUUGUGCGAGGGCUGGUUUGGCUUUCAUGGGGAAAAAAUGGAGCAGACAACUAUCGUGUACUCAUGGUUUUUGCGGUGUAUCAUAUUGUUCACCAAAACUUAGAGACAUAGCUUGGAAGCUUUGCUUCCCUGAAUGGGAUGGCAGAUAUGAUUGGGUUCUGCUUGCAGCGUCCACUCGCACCCUAUAAGUUUUGCUUCAUUUUCAUUUUCAUCUCACAUUAUUUUCGUACAUGUUUAUUGUUUAGUUUAAAUUGUGGCGGCUAAAGUUUUAGAAAUGAAUUGAAGUUGCAUCAGCGAUGGUCGGAAAAUAGUGAAAGAAGCAUUAUUUGGAAGCCUUGGAUUAUAGCUGCAGAAGCUGCUCAAAGGUCUUAUCUCCAUAGACGGUGAGAUUCAAGAUGACGAAAUUGAGAAGUUGAGUGUACUCUCAAGAAGUUCCCUUGACAACAGGAGUACCAGUGUUACAAUGAGUUCCACCUCAAAUUCACCCAAUUUCAAUAAUGUGCUUCAGACCCUUCAAUUGGAGGGUAAAGUUGGUAAUUGAGGAGGACGUUGAGAGAGAAGAAGCAUCUUUGCAUGAAGAUUUAUAUUCAUCAGACAGAAAACUUACAGAAUAUUACAAUGUUUUGGAGCAGAUACAUAUAAGAGUGGUUAUCAAACUUGUCAAAGAUAUAAAGUUGCAACAUCAGCAUAAAUAUGCAUCGGCAUCAAUAGCAAGAGCAGUGGUACCAGCAUGCUUGAUGAGGAAUUAAGUUGUUGAAGGAGACAAAACAAUAUAAACGAAUGGUUGAGGGGCUUAUAUGUGAAGCAGAGACAUACAUGGCCUGGAAGCUUUAAUUUGCUUCACUGAGUGAAUGGAAUGGCAAAGAUGAUUGGGGUCUGCUGGCAGCGUCCAAUCACACCCUGUCAUGAUCAUGGGGAGAAAAGUGAGAAGAAGAGAACAGAGGGGAAUAAGCAUGAGAAAUGCAGGGAUUGAAGAAGCAGGGAACAAUGAAAGGUUGGUGAAUGUUUUAGAUAUAUAUGCUAUUGCAAAUCAAAAUUAAUUUGGACUUAUCCUACCAGUCUUGAGCUGUAGAGUUUACAUCUGACCAAACUUUUAUUCCACAGAUACAUCCAUCAACUGGGGAGAAAAGAGAGAAGAAGAGAACGGAGGGGAAUGAGCAUGAGAAAUGCAGGGAUUGAAGAAGCUGGAAACAAUGAAAGGUCAGACGACGUUGCUUGAACAAAAGGUUCGUGGGAAUUGCUACAAGCAUUGUAACUAAGCUCAUGGCAAUAUAC